GAUGAACGCUGGCGGCGUGCCUAAUACAUGCAAGUCGAGCGAACGGACGAUAAUCUUGCUUCUCUGAUGUUAGCCGCAGACGUGUGAGUAACACGUGGAUAACCUACCUAUAAGACUGGUAUAACUUCGGGAAACCGGAGCUAAUACCGGAUGAUAUUUUGAACCGCAUGGUGCAAAAGAGAAAGACGGUCUUGCUGUCACUUAUAGAUGGAUCCGCGCUGCAUUAGCUAGUUGGUAAGGUAACGGCUUACCAAGGCAACGAUGCAUAGCCGACCUGAGGGGGUGAUAGGCCACACGGGAGCUGAGACACGGUCCAGACUCCUACGGGAGGCCGCAGUAGGGAAUGUUCCGCAAUGGGCGAAAGCCUGACGGAGCGACGCCGCGUGAGUGAUGAAGGUCUUCGGAUCGUAAAACUCUGUUAUUAGGGAAGAACAUAUGUGUAAGUAAAUGUGCACAUCUUGACGGUACCUAAUAAGAAAGCCACGGUUAACUACGUG
rnacentral:rRNA from 1 species